rnacentral:rRNA from 1 species
GCCCUUUUCCGGUUGAUCCUGCCGGAGGCCAUUGCUAUUGGGAUCCGACUAAGCCAUGCGAGUCGAGAGUCAUUUGGACUCGGCGAACUGCUCAGUAACACGUGGCCAAACUACCAUGUGGAGGGGAAUAACCUCGGGAAACUGAGGAUAAGACCCCAUAGGUGUCCGACGCUGGAAUGCCCGGGCACCCAAAUGUUCCGACGCCACAGGACGUGGCUGCGGCCGAUUAGGUAGACGGUGGGGUAACGGCCCACCGUGCCCAUAAUCGGUACGGGUUGUGAGAGCAAGAGCCUGGAGAUGGACUCUGAGACACGAGUCCAGGCCCUACGGGGCGCAGCAGGCGCGAAACCUUUACACUGUACGCGAGUGCGAUAAGGGGAUCCCAAGUGCCCGCGCCUAGCGUGGGCUUUUCCGAACCGUAAAAUGGUUCAGGAAUAAGGGCUGGGAAAGACCGGUGCCAGCCGCCGCGGUAACACCGGCAGCUCGAGUGAUGGCCGAUUUUAUUGGGCCUAAAGCGUCCGUAGCCUGCCGUACGGGUCCGUCGGGAAAUCCGCCCGCUCAACGGGCGGACGUCCGGCGGAAACCAUACGGCUUGGGACCAGAGGACCCGAGGGGUACGUCGGGGGUAGGAGUGAAAUCCCGAGAUCCUCGACGGACCGCCGGUGGCGAAAGCGCCUCGGGAAGAUGGAUCCGACGGUCAGGGACGAAAGCUUGGGUCUCGAACCGGAUUAGAUACCCGGGUAGUCCAAGCUGUAAACGAUGCUCGCUAGGUGUGGCGUAGGCUACGAGCCUGCGCUGUGCCAAAGGGAAGCCACGAAGCGAGCCGCCUGGGAAGUACGUCUGCAAGGAUGAAACUUAAAGGAAUUGGCGGGGGAGCACUACA